CAAGGUUUGGUCGAGAGCGCCAAGGUUUGAAAAGUGUCUCUCAAUAUAAAAACAAGACAAAGGAAACAUUAAACAGAUUUCGGUGUCGAAAGCUAAGCAGUACUUCAAAGAUUGUCAUCUCCGGCCAUCUGCGUUUACUAAAAAGAAGUAGUUUUCCUGGCUGUGUUGAUAAUUCACUAUGUGGACUGCUCUCCAUGUAAGCCCCCUCUGGACCAAGUGUGCUCUUGCAAGGAUGGACAUCUAAACACCAGUGAGACAUGUACUGUGUGUGCAUGCUCUCAGAAUGGGGACUAUGGGAAAUGCAGGACAUCCCAGUGGUUGAGCAUUCCCACUUCCUGGAUAAUAGAGCAGAGCAGUGGUUCUUCUACAGUGGACUUUGCUUGGAGUGCAUUUGAUGGCGACCUGUCCACAGUUUGGGAGCCCAUGGGCCAGCCGGAGGGUUAUGAACACUGGGUCAUACUUGAUCUACAGACCAGCUUCAUUAUUCACAGAGUGACAGUUACUAAUAAUGGGGAUGGUGUCCAUGACAUUGUCAGCUUUAUCAUGGAAAGUGCUGAUGCUAGUCCAUAUGUAUGGGACACUGCUUACACCACAGACACAGUCCUAGCUGGGAUUUCCAUGCCUCAACACUUCAAACUUCACUUUGUGGGUCGAUACAUGAGGCUCAAAGUCAACACUCAGAGUAGAGUAAGG